UUGCAGUGAUGAAAAUUCUUAGGACACCUUUUAAAGAACCAUGUGAAAAAUGUAAGCGUUACCAAAACUGAGCAAA
rnacentral:snoRNA from 1 species